rnacentral:rRNA from 1 species
GACGAACGCUGGCGGCGUGCCUAAUACAUGCAAGUAGAACGCUGAAGGGAGGAGCUUGCUCUUCUUGGAUGAGUUGCGAACGGGUGAGUAACGCGUAGGUAACCUGCCUUGUAGCGGGGGAUAACUAUUGGAAACGAUAGCUAAUACCGCAUAACAAUGGAUGACACAUGUCAUUUAUUUGAAAGGGGCAAUUGUUCCACUACAAGAUGGACCUGCGUUGUAUUAGCUAGUAGGUGAGGUAAUGGCUCACCUAGGCGACGAUACAUAGCCGACCUGAGAGGGUGAUCGGCCACACUGGGACUGAGACACGGCCCAGACUCCUACGGGAGGCAGCAGUAGGGAAUCUUCGGCAAUGGGGGCAACCCUGACCGAGCAACGCCGCGUGAGUGAAGAAGGUUUUCGGAUCGUAAAGCUCUGUUGUAAGUCAAGAACGGGUGUGAGAGUGGAAAGUUCACACUGUGACGGUAGCUUACCAGAAAGGGACGGCUAACUACGUGCCAGCAGCCGCGGUAAUACGUAGGUCCCGAGCGUUGUCCGGAUUUAUUGGGCGUAAAGCGAGCGCAGGCGGUUUGAUAAGUCUGAAGUUAAAGGCUGUGGCUCAACCAUAGUUCGCUUUGGAAACUGUCAAACUUGAGUGCAGAAGGGGAGAGUGGAAUUCCAUGUCUAGCGGUGAAAUGCGUAGAUAUAUGGAGGAACACCGGUGGCGAAAGCGGCUCUCUGGUCUGUAACUGACGCUGAGGCUCGAAAGCGUGGGGAGCGAACAGGAUUAGAUACCCUGGUAGUCCACGCCGUAAACGAUGAGUGCUAGGUGUUGGAUCCUUUCCGGGAUUCAGUGCCGCAGCUAACGCAUUAAGCACUCCGCCUGGGGAGUACGACCGCAAGGUUGAAACUCAAAGGAAUUGACGGGGGCCCGCACAAGCGGUGGAGCAUGUGGUUUAAUUCGAAGCAACGCGAAGAACCUUACCAGGUCUUGACAUCCCGAUGCUAUUUCUAGAGAUAGAAAGUUACUUCGGUACAUCGGUGACAGGUGGUGCAUGGUUGUCGUCAGCUCGUGUCGUGAGAUGUUGGGUUAAGUCCCGCAACGAGCGCAACCCCUAUUGUUAGUUGCCAUCAUUCAGUUGGGCACUCUAGCGAGACUGCCGGUAAUAAACCGGAGGAAGGUGGGGAUGACGUCAAAUCAUCAUGCCCCUUAUGACCUGGGCUACACACGUGCUACAAUGGUUGGUACAACGAGUUGCGAGUCGGUGACGGCGAGCUAAUCUCUUAAAGCCAAUCUCAGUUCGGAUUGUAGGCUGCAACUCGCCUACAUGAAGUCGGAAUCGCUAGUAAUCGCGGAUCAGCACGCCGCGGUGAAUACGUUCCCGGGCCUUGUACACACCGCCCGUCACACCACGAGAGUUUGUAACACCCGAAGUCGGUGAGGUAACCUUUUGGAGCCAGCCGCCUGAGGUGGGACAGAUGAUUGGGGUG